CGUUGCUUAUCGUAUCCACCUUUAUUCAUAGACUUUAGUGUGUUUCUUAUCUAAUAACUAUCAAGUCUCCUUCAUUUCAAUCAUAUUCUUUUGCCUCAUCAAUCAUCUUGCUUUCAUCCCUAGUGGACUGAACUACGAAAGCUCUGAUUUCCUUAUUGCACUAUAAGGAUACGUAGGCAGGAGAACCAAGUUUCUCCGUGAGCUACCUGUAAGACCCCA
rnacentral:lncRNA from 1 species